AGUGAAUAAACAUAAAGUUUUGUGUGAAAAUUGGUAAACGUGCUAGUGAAACGUUACCCGUAUUAACAGUGGCUUGUGGUGAAUAUGCUAUGAAGUAAUCGAGUAUUUUUGAAUGGCACAGGAGGUUCAAGGAAGGGCGAGAUAAUGUGCAAGAUGACCCAAGAAGUGGGCAGCCAAAAAUGCAAAGGACAGAUGCAGAUAUGAACAGAGCACAAACAAACGGUGAAUCAGCAGUAUUAUUUAGAAGUGCUGACAAGGUUAUGGGAAUCUGUUAGGAGGAAAAGACCUGAACUCUGGCCUGAGAAAUUGUUUCUCCACCAUGACAGUGCCCCUGCACAUGAUGCAGUAAGAGUUCGUGAGUUCCUGGCUAAGAAAUCCAUUACAAAAAUGGACCAUCCACCCUAUUCACCUGACUUAGCCCCUUGCGAUUUUUGGCUGUUUACAAAAUUAAGAAAAUUCCCUGCAGGGACAAAGAGUUGCCAACAUUCCUGACAUCCCACACAACGUGACGUUACUGUGAGGUAUUCAUGAAAACGAUUUUCAAGACUGUUUCCGGCAAUGGCACCAUCGUCUCACGAGGAGCCUAGCUUCCCAAGGAGAGUAAUUUGAAGGUGACAGCAGCUGCCAGCACACAGGUUUUAUGUGCUUUAUCAACUGCCAGGGUUAAAAUUCUUGGAUUCAAAGAGAGUCAGCUCAGAAGAGCGUAAAGAAGCUCAAUGUAGAGGGAAGUUUAUGAAGAUUGUGCGUCCAGAAAGUUCUCCUGUGUCACACAAAGGCAACAUGCAUGAUUGCAGCCCACCUUCUAACUACACUCCAUUGCCUACAUCUUCAAGAGGUAUUGGUGACCAUCAAGGUGCAUAUGGGAAGUGCCGCUAUCGUUAUUCUGGAAAACACUCGGAGGGCAAUCGAUUCAUCCAGAAUAGUGAUCUCUAAGGUAUCUAGAACUGCAUAUUCAGCAUGGAGCUUGCUGGUCUUAUUGAAGAACAAUUAAGAUAUUUUAAACUGACGUCCUGCAACAUACUCUUGCAUAUCUGUGAUGUAGUACAUUAUGAAAUUUUACAAAUGUAAUGCUAAAGAAAAUGAAUCUCGCCAAAUAUUUUGAAUAUAUUUUAGCGUGUUAGAAGUUGCUAGCUUGCCCACAAAUUUUACAAAUUCAAAAAC